UAGGGAAUCUUCCACAAUGGACGAAAGUCUGAUGGAGCAAUGCCGCGUGAGUGAAGAAGGUUUUCGGAUCGUAAAACUCUGUUGUGAGGGAAGAACAAGUACGGGAGUAACUGUCCGUACCUUGACGGUACCUCAUUAGAAAGCCACGGCUAACUACGUGCCAGCAGCCGCGGUAAUACGUAGGUGGCAAGCGUUGUCCGGAAUUAUUGGGCGUAAAGCGCGCGCAGGCGGCCUUUUAAGUCUGAUGUGAAAGCCCACGGCUCAACCGUGGAAGGUCAUUGGAAACUGAAAGGCUUGAGUACAGAAGAGGAAAGCGGAAUUCCACGUGUAGCGGUGAAAUGCGUAGAGAUGUGGAGGAACACCAGUGGCGAAGGCGGCUUUCUGGUCUGUAACUGACGCUGAGGCGCGAAAGCGUGGGGAGCAAACAGGAUUAGAUACCCGCGUAGUCC
rnacentral:rRNA from 1 species